AUUGAACGCUGGCGGAAUGCUUUACACAUGCAAGUCGAACGGCAGCACGGGGCAACCUGGUGGCGAGUGGCGAACGGGUGAGUAAUAUAUCGGAACGUGCCCAAUCGUGGGGGAUAACGUAGCGAAAGUUACGCUAAUACCGCAUACGAUCUACGGAUGAAAGCGGGGGAUCGCAAGACCUCGCGCGAAUGGAGCGGCCGAUAUCAGAUUAGGUAGUUGGUGGGGUAAAGGCUCACCAAGCCAACGAUCUGUAGCUGGUCUGAGAGGACGACCAGCCACACUGGAACUGAGACACGGUCCAGACUCCUACGGGAGGCAGCAGUGGGGAAUUUUGGACAAUGGGCGCAAGCCUGAUCCAGCCAUUCCGCGUGCAGGAUGAAGGCC
rnacentral:rRNA from 1 species